GACGAACGCUGGCGGCGUGCUUAACACAUGCAAGUCGAACGGAAAGGCCCUGCUUUUGUGGGGUGCUCGAGUGGCGAACGGGUGAGUAACACGUGAGUAACCUGCCCUUGACUUUGGGAUAACUUCAGGAAACUGGGGCUAAUACCGGAUAGGAGCUCCUGCUGCAUGGUGGUGGUUGGAAAGUUUCGGCGGUUGGGGAUGGACUCGCGGCUUAUCAGCUUGUUUGUGGGGUAGUGGCUUACCAAGGCUUUGACGGGUAGCCGGCCUGAGAGGGUGACCGGCCACAUUGGGACUGAGAUACGGACCAGACUCGUACGGGAGGCAGCAGUGGGGAAUAUUGCGCAAUGGGCGGAAGCCUGAGGCAGCAACGCCGCGUGCGGGAUGACGGCCUUCGGGUUGUAAACCGCUUUCGACUGUGACGAAGCGUGAGUGACGGUAAUGGGUAAAGAAGCACCGGCUAACUACGUG
rnacentral:rRNA from 1 species